ensembl:lncRNA
GGCGGCGGCGGCUCCCGGUGGCACCUGCGGGGACAUGGGUCAGCGCCCCGCACGCACACGCGUGACGUGGGCGGGGACACGCGGAGGGACACGCGAGGUGACACGGGAUGGCGACACGCGGUGACGUGGGAGGACACGGGAAGACACGGGAUGUCACAGGACGACACGGGACGACACAGGAUAACACAGAUCAACAUGGGAUGACACAGGACAACACGGGAUGACACAGGAUGACACGGAUCAACAUGGGAUGACACGGGAUGACACGGGACGACAACACAGAUCAAGACGAGUCGACAGGGGAUGACACAGGACAACAUGCGAUGACACGGGAUGACACAGGACAACGUGGGACAACAACACAGGUCAACACGGGUCAACACGGGUCAACACGGGAUGACAUUGGAUGACACAUGAUGUCACGGGACAACACAAGACAACACGGGAUGACAACAUGGAUCAACACGGGUCAACACGGGUCAACACGGGAUGACACAGGUCAACAUGGGAGAACACAGGAUGACACAGGUCAACACGGGUCAACACGGGUUGACAUGGGACGACACAGGACGACACAUGACAUCACGGGAUGGCACAGGAUGACAACACGGGACGACACGGGUCGACACGGGUUGCCAUGGGAUGACACAGGACGACACAUGACGUCACAGGAUGACACGGGAUGACAACACAGGUCAACACGGGUCAACAUGGGACAACACGGGUUGCCAUGGGACGACACAGGACGACACAUGACGUCACAGGAUGACACAGGAUGACAACACGGGACGACACGGGUCAACACGGGUUCCCUCACCGCCGCCAGCCCCUGCAGCCGCUCCAGCUCCGCCGCCAGCCUGCGAGAAAUGACGCGCUGAGGGGCCCAGGCGUCCGGGAGAGGGGGCCCAGGCGUCCGGGGAAGGGGCCCAGGCGUCUGGGGAAGGGGCCCAGGCGUCCGGGAGAGGGGCCCAGGCGUCCGGGCCCCGCCCACCUGCGGCGCUGCUGCUCCAGGGCCUGGUGCCGGCGCCUGGUGGCCUCCAGCCGCGCGCGAGCUCCCGCGUUCUCCUGCUGCAGCAGCUGCCUGCGGGGCCCAGGCAUCCGGGAAAGGGCCCAGGCGUCCGGGGAGGGGCCCAGGCGUCCGGGAAAGGGGCCCAGGUGUCCAGGAAGGGGCCCAGGCGUCCGGGAAAAGGGCCCAGGAGUACAGGAAAAGGGCCCAGGCGUCCAGGAAAGAGCCCAGGUGUCCGGGAAAGGGCCCAGGCGUCCGGGAAAGGGCCCAGGUGUCUGCGGAAGGGGCCCAGGUGUCCGGGGAGGGGCCCAGGCGUCUGGGAAGGGGCCCAGGCGUCCCGGAAAGGGGCCCAGGUGUCCAGGGAAGGGCCCAGGCGUCCGGGGAGGGGCCCAGGCGUCCGGGACUCACAUGGCGACGCGGGCCUCGGGGCCCAGCAGUUCAUCCAGCUCCCGCAGGCGCUGCUCUGGGGGGGGGAGGGGAGGCGGUGUCACCCCCGGCCAGGGCCCAGGCGUCCGGGAAGGGGCCCAGGCGUCCGGGAAGGGCCCAGGCGUCCGGGGCUCACCCUGCCUCCGCAGCUGCUCCCGCGUGGUCCCGGCCUUCGCCAGCUCCGCCGCCAGCCUGGCCGGCGCCUGCGGGGAGACGGCGCCGGGGAGGGGCCCAGGCGUCCGGGAGGGGCCCAGGCAUCC